UCUUCAGCAGGGACAGAUAGAGAUCAGAUUGUUGAAUUAGGUCGUGUGUGUCAGGAAGCUGUUUGAUCUCAAUUUUCUCAGGUGGAUAUUUUUAGCUUCUGAGCAGUCAUCAUGGGUGAAAUCAUUCCUUUGCCAAAGUAUGUUGGACAGUUCCCUGGUGACAGGUUCUAUAGAAACUCAGAGCUGUGUUGUUAGCAAAGUGAGACAGGAAGAGGAGUCCAUUGUAUUCUGGAGAUGGUAAUAGGACUGCUCUAUCUCCUCAUCACAGACCAGCCAUGGGAACAAUGUCCCAUUUGCAGUGGAUCUGCAGCGACUGUUUUUAAACCAAAAUUAUAAAACAGAAUGAUAUUUCUUUCAGGCUAGAGAAUUCCAGGACAGAAGAGAAAUGUGGACGGAUAAAUUAUGAAUUAGUCUGGACUUUCAGUAUGAGAAUCCUGCUAUUUAUACUUAAGUUUGAUAUGGAAUGCCUGGAAAUGUGGCAAUAAAUUGAAGUUGAAGUUUUAUUUGAGGCAAUAACUUUCUUUUUAUCUUUGUUGGAGCAUCAGUAAGAUAUUAUAAAGGAGUUUUAGAAGGGCUGGAUGCUAUAACCUUCAUGGCUCUUUAUAUUGCUUGCCAUAAAGGGAUUAUGAGUUAUUGAUGGGGACAUUGUUGACAGAGUUUUAAGGUGAUUUGACUACCUCCAUGUAACUACUGAGUUUAGUUGUCAUGGUUGAUAUUACAAAAAUUACUUAAGGGAUAAUACAUUUUUAUAAUAUAUUUAGAAUAAAUUCAGUGAUAUUUAAGCCACAUGAAUACAUUUCCAGUUUUGUGGUUGUCUUUUUUAAAAAAAUGAAGUCUGAAAGUUGUGUUUUAUAAGUCAGAUUUUUAUUCUUCCUAUUGUACAACAUACAGAUAAUUAUGUGCUAAGCGCCCAUAAGAGGGGAACAGUGGGAGAUGCCAGGACACGUAGGAGAGGUCCUUGUCCUCAUGGUUCUCAGCAAUCUGCUUGGAAAAACCUGGCAAAAGUACAUGGAAUAAUUGAGCAACAAUAACCACAUGAUGAUUGUGAUCUUAUUGUAGGUGUCACGCAGAAUGUCAAAACAGAAGGCAUUUGUGUAAGCCUCUUGUUGAAGGAAAUAGAUUUGUUCUCAGAAGACUAAUAAAAAUGGAAGAAACCA